AUGGGCGCAAGCCUGAUGGAGCAACACCGCGUGAGUGAAGAAGGGUUUCGGCUCGUAAAGCUCUGUUGUUGGAGAAGAACGUGCGUGAGAGUAACUGUUCACGCAGUGACGGUAUCCAACCAGAAAGUCACGGCUAACUACGUGCCAGCAGCCGCGGUAAUACGUAGGUGGCAAGCGUUAUCUGGAUUUAUUGGGCGUAAAGCGAGCGCAGGCGGUUGCUUAGGUCUGAUGUGAAAGCCUUCGGCUUAACCGAAGAAGGGCAUCGGAAACCGGGCGACUUGAGUGCAGAAGAGGACAGUGGAACUCCAUGUGUAGCGGUGGAAUGCGUAGAUAUAUGGAAGAACACCAGUGGCGAAGGCGGCUGUCUGGUCUGCAACUGACGCUGAGGCUCGAAAGCAUGGGUAGCGAACAGGAUUAGAUACCCUGGUAGUCCAUGCCGUAAACGAUGAGUGCUAGGUGUUGGAGGGUUUCCGCCCUUCAGUGCCGGAGCUAACGCAUUAAGCACUCCGCCUGGGGAGUACGACCGCAAGGUUGAAACUCAAAGGAAUUGACGGGGGCCCGCACAAGCGGUGGAGCAUGUGGUUUAAUUCGAAGCUACGCGAAGAACCUUACCAGGUCUUGACAUCUUGCGC
rnacentral:rRNA from 2 species